UACAGUCAUAUCAUGUUGAAGCACCAGUUCCCUGUAUGAUCAUUGAAGUUAAGCAAUAUUGAGCCUGGUCAGUACCUACAUGGGUUACCACUUGCAUAUACCAGGUGCUGUAA